GGGAUGGAAGGGGGGAACCCUGGAUCCAGCCAUGCCGCGUGUGUGAAGAAGGCCUUUCUGGUUGUAAAGCACUUUCAGCAGGGAAGAACACCUGAGGGUUAAUACCCCUGAGGAAUGACAUUACCUGCAGAAUAAGCACCGGCUAACUCUGUGCCAGCAGCCGCGGUAAUACAGAGGGUGCAAGCGUUAAUCGGAAUUACUGGGCGUAAAGCGAGCGUAGGUGGCUUGAUAAGUCAGAUGUGAAAUCCCCGGGCUUAACCUGGGAACUGCAUCUGAAACUGUUAAACUAGAGUAGGUGAGAGGGAAGUGGAAUUCCGGGUGUAGCGGUGAAAUGCGUAAAGAUCUGAAGGAAUACCGAUGGCGAAGGCGGCUUCCUGGCCUCAUACUGACACUGAGGUUCGAAAGCGUGGGUAGCAAACAGGAAUAAAGAAUACCUUGGGUAGUCAAA
rnacentral:rRNA from 1 species